rnacentral:lncRNA from 11 species
AGCAGAACACAUUUUGACAGGCAAGACUGGAGAGUGAGACGUUAUGAAACCGUAUCUCUCAGGAUUCCAUAGCUCUGAGCCAUGGCAGUUCAAGUGGUGUCAGACGGCAUGAAUUCUGCAGUGUAGAUGCACCUUUCUACGCCCCGAGCGCCUCCUAUUCGACCUGCGAGGGGCUGCCUCUUGCCAUCAUAGACAUAGAGGACCAAAGGUGGGUGUUCUUCUGCCUCCUAGCAAAUCU